GUGAGGAAUAUUGGACAAUGGGUGAGAGCCUGAUCCAGCCAUCCCGCGUGAAGGACGACGGCCCUAUGGGUUGUAAACUUCUUUUGUAUAGGGAUAAACCUACUCUCGUGAGAGUAGCUGAAGGUACUAUACGAAUAAGCACCGGCUAACUCCGUGCCAGCAGCCGCGGUAAUACGGAGGGUGCAAGCGUUAUCCGGAUUUAUUGGGUUUAAAGGGUCCGUAGGCGGAUCUGUAAGUCAGUGGUGAAAUCUCAUAGCUUAACUAUGAAACUGCCAUUGAUACUGCAGGUCUUGAGUAAAGUAGAAGUGGCUGGAAUAAGUAGUGUAGCGGUGAAAUGCAUAGAUAUUACUUAGAACACCAAUUGCGAAGGCAGGUCACUAUGUUUUAACUGACGCUGAUGGACGAAAGCGUGGGGAGCGAACAGG
rnacentral:rRNA from 1 species